CGUUACUUUCCAUAUAUUUCAGAUAUCUAACUUGAGUGUCGGAAGAUCCCUGUCGAAGCCAACUUCGAUCGGAGACUUAUCUUACAGGUCCUACCAUCGCCUACCAACGGUCACUGUCUAGCUCCAACCAAUCCGAUCAAAGAUGAAUUUCUACCGUAACAUAUUAGAUUAUAUUUGCAUAUUAGCAUAUCUCGUCUCAACGAAAGG
rnacentral:lncRNA from 1 species